UACGUAGGGUGCAAGCGUUGUCCGGAAUUAUUGGGCGUAAAGAGCUCGUAGGCGGUCUGUCACGUCUGCUGUGAAAACUGGGGGCUCAACCCCCAGCCUGCAGUGGGUACGGGCAGACUAGAGUGCGGUAGGGGAGAUUGGAAUUCCUGGUGUAGCGGUGGAAUGCGCAGAUAUCAGGAGGAACACCGAUGGCGAAGGCAGAUCUCUGGGCCGUAACUGACGCUGAGGAGCGAAAGCAUGGGGAGCGAACAGG
rnacentral:rRNA from 1 species